AGGUAGAAACUAUAAAAAAGAUCAUUUUUAUUGAAGUAAUGGUUUACUUGCAGAUAGUUUAGGCAAAUUUUAAUGUAGAUAUAUUGGAGAGCUACUCCAGGUCACCCUCCCUAGCAGCAGAUACAGACCACUUCUUGGAUCCUCAUGGUAGGAAAGAACACCAAGAUAAACAUCAUGAAUAUAAAGCCUUUGCAAGCAUUUGCUGGUAAAGUUCUUCAAAAUGGGAAGUAUAGUAAUUGAGCUUGAUGAAGAACUAUUCAAGAUAUGAAAUGAACCAGUUAAUAGAGGAAGAUGGAGAUUGAGGAUGAAGAUAUAUAUAUAUAUAUAUAUAGAAAGAGAGAGAGAGAGAUUGCAAUCUUCCCCAAAACCUGCGUAGCAUCUGUGUGUAGCUGAACAUUCAAUUCCUUGCAAAUUUUCCCAAUCUCGGUUGUAGAUGGAUUGAGAACUUUGUCCGUCGGUGACUGUGAUUGUGCCGUGGAGCUUCUCUCCGUCGAUCAAGCUCCGCGAGAACCUCCCUAAACCUCUUCACCGACACAUCUUCCGGCGACAUGGCUCUCUCUCUCUCUCUCUGUGCGUGUUUGAUCGUGGUGACGAGUGAGAGUAGACAAAAGGAAGGGGCCUGAAUUUCUCUGUGAUAGAUGGGAGGACCUUAGACAUCAAAAAAUAAUUUUGUGGAUCUCUUCCCUUACGAAAAGUGGGAGAGGGACCCUAGACCAAUUUUCCCUUUUUUUUAAAAUUUUUUUUGCCAAGUACAAAAAAUAUGAAAAUUGAGUACAUUUUCGUGUUAUGUCAUAUUCAAUAAAUAUUUAAAAAAAAAUUUGUACAAAUUUUAUACUUUUUAACUAUACCA